CAUGCAAGUCGAACGGCAGCACGGGAGCAAUCCUGGUGGCGAGUGGCGAACGGGUGAGUAAAGUAUCGGAACGUGCCCAGUCGUGGGGGAUAACGUACCGAAAGUUACGCUAAUACCGCAUACGAUCUAUGGAUGAAAGCGGGGGAUCGCAAAACCUCGCCCGAUUGGAGCGGCCGAUAUCACAUUAGGUAGUUGGUGGGGUAAAGGCUCACCAAGCCGACGAUCUGUAGCUGGUCUGAGAGGACGACCAGCCACACUGGGACUGAGACACGGCCCAGACUCCUACGGGAGGCAGCAGUGGGGAAUUUUGGACAAUGGGCGCAAGCCUGAUCCGGCCAUGCCGCGUGCAUGAUGAAGGCCUUCGGGUUGUAAACUGCUUUUGUACGGAACGAAAAGGUUUGGCCUAAUACGCUGAACUCAUGACGGUACCGUAAGAAUAACCACCGGCUAACUACAUGCCAGCAGCCGCGGUAAUACGUAAGGUGCGAGCGUUAAUCGGAAUUACUGGGCGUAAAGCGUGCCCUGCGGGUUUUGUAAGACAAAUGUGAAAUCCCCGGGCUCCACCUCGGGAACUGCAUUAUCCACUGCAUGGCUUAAAUACUGUGGAAGGGGGGAUGGAAUUCCCGCGUCUUACCAGUGAACAUGGGGGUACAUGUACACCCGGUAACCCCGAUGUGCUAAGGGCCAUCCCCUUGGGGGCUGGUACCCGAACUCCCGUGGCAAGAAAAGCCGUUGGGCAGCCAAACAAGGAUUAGAUUGCCCCUGGAUUAUGUUCCACUCCCCUCAAC
rnacentral:rRNA from 1 species